rnacentral:rRNA from 1 species
GACGAACGCUGGCGGCGUGCUUAACACAUGCAAGUCGAACGGAAAGGCCUCUUUCGGGGGGUACUCGAGUGGCGAACGGGUGAGUAACACGUGAGUAACCUGCCCUUGACUUUGGGAUAACUUCAGGAAACUGGGGCUAAUACCGGAUAGGAGCUCCUGCUGCAUGGUGGGGGUUGGAAAGUUUCGGCGGUUGGGGAUGGACUCGCGGCUUAUCAGCUUGUUGGUGGGGUAGUGGCUUACCAAGGCUUUGACGGGUAGCCGGCCUGAGAGGGUGACAGGCCACAUUGGGACUGAGAUACGGCCCAGACUCCUACGGGAGGCAGCAGUGGGGAAUAUUGCACAAUGGGUGGAAGCCUGAUGCAGCAACGCCGUGUGCGGGAUGACGGCCUUCGGGUUGUAAACCGCUUUCGCUCAUGACGAAGCUUUGUGUGACGGUAGUGGGUAAAGAAGCACCGGCUAACUACGUG